GAUGAAGAACGUAGCGAAAUGCGAUAAGUAGUGUGAAUUGCAGAUUUCAGUGAAUCAUCGAAUCUUUGAACGCACAUUGCGCCCGCCAGUAUUCUGGCGGGCAUGCCUGUUCGAGCGUCAUUUCAACCCUCAGGCCCCCAGUGCCUGGCGUUGGGGAUCGGCGUGGGCGGCGAACGGCUCUCCGGAGCCCGAGCCAAUGCCUGCCGGCCCCGAAAUUCAGUGGCGGUCUCGCUGUAGUCCCCCUCUGCGUAGUAGCACAACUCGCAUUGGAGCUCGGCGGUGGCCAUGCCGUAAAACACCCCACUUCUGAAAGUUGACCUCGGAUCAGGUAGGAAUACCCGCUGAACUUAAGCAUAUCAAUAAGCGGAGGA
rnacentral:misc_RNA from 1 species